AGCAUCGAAGCUGGAGAAUCUCGAGUCAAUUGCUUCGGGUAUUCGACCACCACGCCCUCACCGUUCCUUCCCCAGUCCGCCUCAACACACCUUGGAUUUCUUCCAUUCCUCUCCUCCUUGUGAGCCAAAAUUCUGAAAAAAAAACAAGUCGCCUCUUUAUUGACGCACCAGCGGAGGUCAUUGAACAGUGAAAGGAUACCCUGUGCAGAAUCAGAGCCCGUCAUUUCAUGCACCUCAGAGGCAGAGGUGAAAAUGUUAAUAAUGAACACCUGCGUAAAAGUCUCACCACCAAGGAUUUACAACGAUGAAAUCAGUGAUAAUCCAAUCUUGUGACGCCACUCAGCUGAUGACCGCAUGGAGGGGGAGGAGGAGCAGGACCAGGAGGAGGAAGAGGAGAAGGAGAAAGAGGAAGAGGAAGAGGAAGAGGAGCGGGAGACUCUGGGUUUCCAGGGCAUCGUGUCCGCCUCCCGAGCACGACUUUGAUGCCACGGCCUCGUGAAGGAAGCUUUCCCGCGGCGCACCUCCUGGUGUUACGCUCCAGGGGCUCAGGUGCUUCCCCGGGCAGGCAAGGGCGGUCAUGUUGCCACAGCACACCAUGGGAGGGAUAAGGGGAGAGGGGGUGGGGUUAGGGGGUUAUGCCGCCCGCAGCCUCCCGCCGGGACAAGAUCGAUGUGGCUUUGAUGGCGACCUUGACCAGUCUGUUGGAAAUUUAUAUUUUACCCUUGCUAAUAGCCAGUCAUUAUGGCAAUUAUCUAUAAUGGCGGCAACAGCAACAAAAACAUUGCUGAGACUGAAUGAUGUUAUUAUUAUUAUUAUUAUUAUUAUUAUUAUUAUUAUUAUUAUUAUUAUUAUUGUUAUUAUCAUUAUUAUUAUUAUUAUUAUUAUUAUUAUUAUUAUUAUUAUUAUUAUUAUUAUUAUUAUUAUUAUUGUUGUUGUUGUUUUAGUUAUGAUACUAUAAAUAAUGAUAAUAUAUGUUAAAUAUGAUAAUCAUAUCCGAAGUGAGAAUAACAACAACAACAAAAACAACAACAACAACAACAGUAACAGCAACAGCGGUAGUAGUUCACCAUGUAUUAGUAUUUCCCCUGCGCUAUACCGAAACGAAUAUCAGUAGCAGUUAUAUGUAUCCCCACUGAUUAAAAAGAACAAAAAAAUUGGAAUACAGAUUAA